UUGAGGUUUUGAACAAAAACAAGCCACGUUAAGUCCUUCCCUCUGCAAGACCUUAGGACAACUGUGUUAAGACUGCGGAAACCAUUUCGAAAAAGUUUCUUUACCUCUUCUGGGCAGUCAAUCUUCAUCUCUUCCAAAUUACAGUAUUCAAGAUCUAACUCCUGAAGAUUCUCCAUGUAUGCUAGAUGUAAGACAUUGAACGGUGCACUUUCACAUUGGUAAACCCAUACAGAUUGCGUGAUGCUCACCAGCUUUGGAUAUUUCAAAAACUUUUGGACAGCAAGUGAACUUCGGAAGGUCCAGCUUAAAACAUUUAAACGCUUCAAACCCAGCAAUUCCUUCAUCAAAGGUUCAGCAUCAGCACAUAGAACGUUAGCUUCUUCUUCUUCUGUUACACUGCAACAACCGCACCCACGCAACCUGAGUACCUCCAAAUUUGAAAAGCCAGAUAUCAAUUGAUGUGGAAUUAUAGACAAAUUAAAUGCAUACUCCAAGUUCAAAUAUCUCAACUUCUCCAACGCCUUCAGCUCUUGCGGCAACCCAGUUAUGUCAGCCGAUGAUAGAUCAAGAUGAUGUAAUGAAACCAAACUUGAAAUCCCUGAAGGUAGUGUACUUAGGUGAAAAUUUUCACUGAGACUUAAUACUCUAAGAGACGACAUAGAUUGAAAGAAGCCGUCAGUGAUCUCCACAAUCGGAUUUUCAUCCACAAGUAAAGUUACGAGACGCGGACACGUGGGAAUUUCCGAUAGGCUUUCAAUUCCAUUUCCCAUCAGAGAUACCCGUUUGGCACCUUCCCAUUCUUCAAUCUUUGGUGCUUCGGUCAAUUUAACUCCAGCGCGAACCAGAAAGUUCUGCUCCUCCUUGUCUACCGUGCACGCUAUCCAUAAUGACAUCUCACGAAUCAUAUCGUGCAUCUUUACAUGAUCAUCGCCUUCUUCCUCCAAUAAGCAUGCUUGAAGAAGGUCAUCAAUAAAAUCGCAUCCAUCAUCAAAAUCAUAUACAAAUCCUUCACUAAUCCAGUAAUCAAUCAAUUCCCUUCUAGGAAUUUCGUAGUCUUCAGGAUAUAAACAACAAUACAGGAGACAGGAACGAAGUUCGUCCGUAGACAAACUAUCAUAGCUGAACUUUAAACGCGAAAACACCUCUUCUUUCAUACCUGAGAAUUUAGAAGCUGAUGUUGUCAUUUUGUGAAUUGCACGUUUCCAAUCUCCAACUUUCCUUUGGCUUUUCAUGGCUCGACCCACUGUUUUAAGCGCUAGCGGCAACCCACCACACUCUCUUGCCAGGGUUUCGGCUAGCUCUGGAAUACUGGUAUGACUGUCAAGAGUGGAUCUGUCGACCAUCUCCUGAAAUAAUUCCCAGGCUUUAUCAUGCGCCAAACUAUACACUUCCAACUUUUUAGCGUCCAUUUGAUCGCAAACACCAGCUGAACGAGUUGUCAAGACUAUUUUGGACCCAUCAUUUAGAUUUUGAAGAGGGACACCCAAUUGUGUUAAAUCAAUGCGCUCCCAUAUAUCAUCCAAUAACAACACAAACUUCUUUCCGCUUAAAAUUCUAGCGAUGUCCGCAGCCUUGUCUCGAAGACUUUUUUUCUCCCAGCUUGGGUCUUCUGAAAAGCCAAUCCUUUUUCCAAUGUCAUCUUGAAGUGUUGACGCAGCCGCCCAGAUAACAACAUCAAAAUUAUGCUGUUGAUGGCAGAAGUUGUUGUUGACUUGUUUUAAAAGGGUAGUUUUGCCGACUCCCCCUAUACCAUACAAGCCGAUAAUUCCCCUGUUAUUUUCCUCAUCAGUGAUACAUCGCCAAACUCGAUCCACUAGUAAUUCUUGACCAACAAUUGUUUGCGCAAGAGGUAAUUCAAUUGCUGCACCAUCUGGCGCCUUCUCAACAACGACUUCAAUUUUUUCUCCGUCCUUCCUUAAAUUGAUCACUCGAUCCGUCAACAUGACCACUUUUCUGCCGAAAUCGUAGCUUGAAGCCAAGUUUUUGGAACAGAGGCCUCCAAGGCACAAUCUAUCCAUUUCUUGAGCUUUAACUUGUUGCAGCUUCGUAAAUUCAUUUUCCAGUUUUUGCACAUCUUCAAGCCACCCUGCGACCUGGUUCGUUCGUCUGGUUCGAGGUCGUUGUUCUUCGACCUCAACCCUGGUCUUCAGAUCGUCCCUUGUUCGAGUCAAUUUGUGCAAUUCAGUCUCCAAGCCCUCAAGAUUUUUUUCGAGACCCCAUAUAUAUUUUGCUUGUUGACCAACGCAGUUUAAAGUUCGAUUAAAAAAGUCUGGUUGUAAGAAAGUUGAGAUUAAGUUACCCAUUGUCGUUCACGAAAAGAGGAAGAGAAGCGAUGGGUACAAUGAAAAGAAUUAUGCUGCUUUGGAGAGGGUUAUAUUUAGAGAAGCACAAUACCGAAAUAAAAAUAUGAUACAUUUGUUGCUUUAUAAUUCAUAUGUCAAAUAUCAAGAAUAUAAUGAUACGCUUACACGUCAUAUAAAAUUUGCAAUUCAACCCAGUAAUCACAUAGUUAAUAUUAAAUCUUAUCAUUUGUUAUCUAAGUGAUAAAUUUAUAUUGAUAAUAUAUUUUUUAGAAUAAAAAUUUUCUACCUUAACUUGGAUGAAGAUUCAAAAUAUUAAGUCAAUGAUAGAUAGAUAAAAAAUAAAAUAAAAUAAAUUUUAACAUUAAUUCCUGGAAUCUGUCACCAUUUUUUUCCCUUAGUAACAACCAUGUUCGCUUGAGAGACCACCACAACAUGAAUAAUUUCUUCUUGGUCGACCAAAUUGGCCUUAAGAGGCUUGUGAUCUCCCUUUCUAUACUUGCAUUUGAUAGCAAAAUGUCCACAAACAUAACAAUUGCCUUUUUAAGGAAUCAAACAAGACUUAAUUAGGCGAUAAACCAGUCUAUUGGCUAGAGCCACUCAAAGUUUGAAUGAAGGUAAUUUUUCUAUCAAGAGAAGAAUUGUAAUCCUUAGAAUAUUUGAGAUGAUUUUGAGUGGUGCCAUAUCAAAAUUGAUAUAUACUAAUUUUGAUAUAUAAUUAUAUGAUUAUAAAUAUAAUGAAUAAUAAUCUAAAAAAAAAUAGGCGAUAAAGUUUAUUACAUCCACGAACAUAAAGGUCACGUUCAAGUAAAUGUGACCGUUGGACGUUGACAGCCCCUAAAAAAGAACCAAAAAAAAUCUAAUUUGAUAAAACGACGUCAGGAUUCGAAAUGGUCACGGGUUAAAAAAUUUAUUGGAAGCAUAAUAUUAACGUGCGCUUGCUUCUUCCAAAACAGCAAGAGACUGAAUGCUGAGCCUCUCUGAAAAAGAAGCUGCGUUCUGUAAGACUGAAACGUUUAGCUGAGACCUUGUGUUAAUUUUUUACAACCCUAAACCCUAAACCCUAAACCACUUGCUCUUAAUUGUCACCCGCAUUACCGUAGGAAUAGGAUUUCUCUCUAUCUCAGUUUUACUAAAUUUUUAAAAAUUUAUUUUUAUGUGUCUUUUAAUUAUAGUAUAUAAAUAAAAUUUUAUUUUUUAAUUUUUUUAAUUUAUUAACUAUCAAUCAUUUUAAAUUAUUUAAUAUGAUCAGAUCAAAAGAAAAUUUUUAUCUUUUAAUUUAACUAUGUCAAUUAAUAUUACAUAUCCUAAUUUUCUUAAAUGAUGCGGCAUUUAUUAAUUAGACACUAAGAUAGCACUAUUAAUUUAUUUAUAUAUUUUAUAAAAAACUAUCAAUCACUUACAUUACAUACUAUAUUCUGAAAAAAAAAUUUGAGUUAUCUAUUAUUAUUUAAAAAGGAGGAGUAAUUUUGGUAUGCUAAGGUUAUUUCACAAACGUAAUAAAGAAAUUUGUGAUGAUGAACACAGUGAUAGGGCAAUUAUUGAAGCAGCAAUGACUUCGUCUGUUGCGCGUGGGAAAUCUAUUAGUAAUAUAAAGGAAAAUAAAAAGUACCCUAUGUCUUUUCAACUAUUAUUAUUUUUCCAAGGCGAACUAGCCAAAUAUGUAUGAUAAAUGUCCCUAAUAUUUUUUCUGUAAAUACAAAGACAAAUUAAAUUCAACUAGAACAAAAGUCUUUCACUGGAACCCAAUAGAUAAAAGACCAAAAUGAUAUCUAGACAUACCUCAUUGUAUAGCAAUGGAAGCUUACAAGUUAAAAUAGUAUUUAUAAUCUUUUGUAACUUUCAAAUUCUGCAUUGGAUUCUGCAACUCAUCAAGAUUAGCUUUUUAGAUCUCAUAUAUAUUUUAGCAUCUCCACGAAGGAAAAAUAAAAUAAAACUGCAAGAAUUGAGUCUGGUGAUAAGAAGCACGCAUGAGAAUGAUGUUACCCAUUUUUGUUAACAAAAAUUUCAAGGAAGAAAAUAAAGUGAGAAAGAAAGAAUUAUGUUUGUGAAAAUGGAAGAGAAGGUAGGAAUUGUAUUAUAAGACUGCAAUGUUAAGUGGCUUGGUUGUGUAGGUGAGACAUUUCAUCGAACUUCUUUACAUUUCCAUCAAACACCUUGUUCUUUAACCGUCUGUGACGUCCUUUAUACCCGUCCAUAGACAUUAAAUUGGCUGAUGUCAAGUGAAUUUGAGACUACAAAUGUGCAGCUCUUGCCUUAAUCUCCUUAGAAUCCUGAAGGGUGAAAACUUAUACCUUAUAGACUUAAGGUACGUUUAGGAUUGAAGUGUUAUAACUUUUAAGCUACAGUUGCUGUAAAAAAAAAAAAUUUAAAUAAUAAUUUUGAUGAAAUUAUUAAUAAUAAUAUAAUAAAUUCUCCAUUAUACAAGUGAAAAAUUAUAUCAACAUAUCUUUCAAGACACAACAAUUAGUAUUUACUAAACACUUUACUACUGUACCUUUUAAGGUACAGGUAUCCAACUUCAAUUCUAAAUGCACUCUCAUAUGUAUACCCUUUAUAUAAGGCUGAUAGAGUAAUGUAAACUAUAUUGUCCUUUUUUUCUUGUGUUAAUUGAAAUAAUUAAAACUCAAAAUUUGUAAGUGAGGCCACUUGAUUGCAGCAAAGGAGAGCAGUGAAGGGAAGAUAAAAUUUUACCGACAUUGAACUUGUUAUUUCUCUCUCUACUAUAUUGUAGUGUUUACUUUUUAGAGUGGGAGUUUGGAGUGUGGAGUGUGGAGUGUGGAUUCCUCCCACUCUCCCACUCUAGUGUUUACUUAUCUUAAAAAAGGGGGAAGUGGGAGUGGGAAUCCGUGGGUCCCACCCAAUUUUGGAGUGGGAAGUGGGAUUCCCACUCCCAUGGGGGGAGGUGGGAGUGGGAAUCCACUCCCCCCUCUUCCCAUUUUAUCCCUAUAAUUAAAUUAAUAAAUAAUAUUUAAUAAAAUAAAUAAUAUCAUAUUUAUUAAAAAUAAUAAUGAUAUCAUAUUUAUUUUAUUAAAUUUAAUAAAAUAAAAAUAAAUAAAUAUUAUAUUUAAAUUAAUAAUAUUAAACAUUAUUAAUUUUAAUAAAUAUUAAUUAAUUAUUUAAUUAAUAAUAAUAAAUAUUUUAUUCUAAAAAAAUAUUAAUUUUGUACUAUAUUAUCAAUAAUAAUAUUUCAUUUGUGUUGUUAUUAUUAAUAAUUUUUAUUCACAUAAUUUAAAUUAAAAUUAAUAAAAAAUUAUGAUUUACAUAAUUAAGAAUAUUAGUAAUUAUUAUUAAUUUAGAAAUAUAAUAAAAUAUUUAUUUUAUUUUCCAAAUAUUUUUUAUUAAUUUUUUAAUUAUAAAUUAUAAUUCUGUACAUAAGGAUAAAAUUGUAAUUUAAAACAAUUUACUCCCAAUCCAAGACAAAGUAAACAAAUAAUUAGGAUUCUGAUUGACAAUCUAUACUUUCACACCCUACUCUACACUCCUAAUCCAAGGAUUCCCACUCCUCAGGAUUCCCACUCCAAUCCAAAAAGUAAACGCAGCAUAUAUAUAUUAGCUUGUUGUUAAUUAUAAUCUUUGCAACCAAAUAAUGUAGAAUAUGUAUACGGGUGCGAAAUUUUCCAUAGGGAAUUCAGUGUUCGAUUUAAACUGCACUUUUAUAGUUUGUUCUCCAUUUACUCCUUACUUUCAGAUCUUUGUGACAAUCACAAUUUUGUCAACCAAAAUAAAGGUCGCAUUCAAGCAAAUUAAAUGUGACCUUUGGACAUUAGCAUCAACCUCUAAAGUGAUAGCAGUAACAAACAGCUCAGCACAAAUAAUUGAGGCCCUGCACUUUCAUUAGAGGAUGGGAGAAGAGAACACUUGAUUUGAUAGCAAGACGCCAAGACCAGGACAGAGACCAAGACGAAGACCGAUGAAAAGCCCUAAACAAACCAAAAAAUAAAAAUAAAAAUGCAGUUAUGAUUAUCGUCGAAUACUUCAAACAUACGACAAGUCCAAGUUUAGCUAAGGCCUAGUGUAUAAAUUUUCUACAAGCUGUUGAAUGAGAAAAUUUGUCUAAUUCUUAAGUCUUACCUGCCAAUCACAUCAUUUUAAAUUUAGUCUGUUGAGUAGAAUUUUACUUUUAUAAUUUUUAUCUCAAAAAUCUAUUUUAAAUUAUAUAAUAUUUAUUAAUUAAAUAAUAAAAUAGCAUAAUUAAUUUAUUUAAAUCCUAUAUUAAAUUAUCAAUCACUAAAUAAAUGACACAUUACAUACUAUAUUAUUUAAAAUAAAAAUUUAAAAUAUUUACCGUUACUUAAAAAAAUUAAUUUCCUUUUCCUAAAGUUAUUUCACAGACGCAAGUACAAAAUUCUGUGAUCAUGCACAAAGUGAUAGGGCAAUUAUUGAAUAAAUAUCUCACCAAAUAUAAUUAUAGCAAAUUAAAUAAAUAUUUACUAUGACUUCAGCAUCUGAGUUCCCACUCUAUAAAUAUGCCAGCAUUUUAAAACAAACAAGACUUAAGCGACAAAUACAAUUUUGUCGACGAGUAAAAAGGUCGCAUUCAAGCCAAAGGAGAAAUUCUUUCCAGUGGGAGGAUUCUAAAACCAAGAAUCCACUGCUGAAAUUUUAUUAACUGAAAAUAGAUAACGAUUGACACACCAGACAACAACAACAAGAUGCAAUUAAAUCUAAUGAAAAUUAAAAAAAGAAAAAAGAAAUACAUAUUCAAACAUAUUAAUGAAAAUCAUCCCCAAGUACGACACCGGAAGAGAAAGCAUUUUGGGUGGCUUGGUCCUCCCAUUGUAGCUCUUCCCACCAUUUUUUCGACCCCUCGAUGACAACUCGACGUUCCUUCGCGCUGCUGGAAUUGAGUGGGAGCUUCUUCAGCUGUCGGCAUUCACGUACUUCAAUUUUCUUCAGCUUUGGAAAGGGCAGGGGAUUCGGGUAAACGCUCUUUAAAUUUCUUCCCCACUUUAUGGUUAGAGAUUCGAGUUGUGCAAAAAAGUUAUGCUCUGACCCGAUUAUCUUCGAAAUAUCUCUCAAUUUAUCAACACUAAUUAUUUCUUCCGUUUCUGUACAAAAGACUAUACGCAGCUGCUUGAGAAUUUGAACAAAAACUAGCCACGUUAAGUCUUUCAUUUUUUUGCAACUCCAUAUGACAACUCUGUCGAGACUGCGGAAACCACUUUGAAAAAGUUUCUUUACCUCUUCUGUGCUGUCAGUCUUCAUCUCUUCCAAAUUACUGUCUGAAAUGCGUAACUCCUGAAGAUUCUCCAUGUAUGCUAGAUGUAAGACAUUGAACGGUGGACUUUCACAUUGGCAAACCAUUACAGAUUGAGUGAUGCUCACCAGCUUUGGAUAUUUCAAAAACUUUUGGACAGCAAGUGAACUUCGGAAGGUCCAGCUUAAAACAUUUAAAUGCUUCAAACCCAGCAAUUCCUUCAUCAAAGGUUCAGCAUCAUCACAUAGAACGUUACCUUCUAUUACGCUCCAGCGACCGCGUGAAAGCAACCUGAGUACCUCCAACUUUGAAAAGCCAGAUAUCAAUUGAUGUGGAAUUAUAGACAAAAACCGUGUAUAGUCCAAGUUCAAAUAUCUCAACUUCUCCAACGCCUUCAGCUCUUGCGGCAACCCAGUUAUGUUAGUCGAUGAUAGAUCAAGAUGAUGUAAUGAAACCAAACCUGAAAUCCCUGAAGGUAGUGUUCUUAGGGGAAAAUUUCCUCUUAGACUUAAUACUCUAAGAGAAGACAUCGAUUGAAAGAAGCCAUCAGUAAUCUCCUCAAUCCGAUUUCCACCCAGAAGUAAAGUUACGAGGCGCGGACACGUGGGAAUUUCCAAUAAGCUCCUAAUUCCAUUUCCCAUCAGAGAUACCCGUUUGGCACCUUCCCAUUCUUCAAACUUUGGUGCUUCGGUCAAUUCAACUCCAGCGCGAACCAGAAAGUUCUGCUCCUCCUUGUCUACCGUGCACGCUAUCCAUAAUGACAUCUCACGAAUCAUAUCGUGCAUCUUUACAUGAUCAUCGCCUUCUUCCUCCAAUAAGCAUGCAUGAAGAAGGUCAUCAAUAAAAUCGCAUCCACCAUCAAAAUCAUAUACAAAUCCUUCACUAAUCCAAUAAUCAAUCAAAUCCCUUUUAGGAAUUUCGUAGUCUUCAGGAUAUAAACAACAAUACAGGAGACAGGAACGAAGUUCGUCCGUAGACAAACUAUCAUAGCUGAACUUUAAACGCGAAAACACCUCUUCUUUCAUACCUGAGAAUUUAGAAGCUGAUGUUCUCAUUUUGUGAAUUGCACGUUUCCAAUCUCCAACUUUCCUUUGGCUUUUCAUGGCUCGACCCACUGUUUUAAGCGCUAGCGGCAACCCACCACACUCUCUUGCCAAGGUUUCGGCUAGCUCUGGAAUACCGGUAUGACUGUCCAGAGUGGAUCUGUCGACCAUCUCCUGAAAUAAUUCCCAGGCUUUAUCAUGCGCCAAACUAUACACUUCCACCUUUUCAGCGUCCAUUUGAUCGCAAACACCAGCUGAACGAGUUGUCAAGACUACUUUGGACCCAUCAUUUAGUUUUUGAAGAGGGACACCCAAUUCUGUUAAAUGAAUGGGUUUCCAUAUAUCAUCCAAUAACAACACAAACUUCCUUCUGCUUAAAAUGCUAGCGAUGUCCACAGCCUUGUCUUGAGGACUUUUUUUCGCCCAGCUUUGGUCUUCUGAAAAGCCAAUCCUUUUUCCAAUGUCAUCUUGAAGUGUUGACGCAGCCGCCCAGAUAACAACAUCAAAAUUAUGCUGUUGAUGGCAGAAGUUGUUGUUGACUUGUUUUAAAAGGGUAGUUUUGCCGACUCCCCCUAUACCAUACAAGCCGAUAAUUCCCCUGUUAUUUUCCUCAUCAGUGAUACAUCUCCAAACUCGAUCAAGUAAUAAUUCUUGACCAACAACUGUGUGCUCAACAGGUAAUUCAAUUGCUGCACCAUCCGGCGCCUUCUCAACAACCACUUCAAUUUUUUCUCCGUCUUUCUUUAAAUUGAUCACUCGAUCCGUCAACUCGACCACCUGAGUCCCGUAAUUGUAGCUUGAAACGAAGUUUUUGGAACAGAGGCCUCCAAGGCACAAUCUAUCGAUUUCAUGAGCUCUAACUCGUUCCAGCUCGGUAAAUUCAGUUUCCAGUUUUUGCACAUCUUCAAGCCACCCUGCGACCUGGUUCGUUCGUCUGGUUCGAGGUCGUUGUUCUUCGACCUCAACCUUGGUCUUCAGAUCGUCCCUUGCUCGAGUCAAUUUGUGCAAUUCAGUCUCCAAGACCCGAAGGUUUUUUUCGAGACCCCAUACAUAAUUUGCUUGUUCACCAACGCAGUUUGAAGUUCGAUCAAAUAAGUCUGCUGGUAAGAAGGUUGAGAUUAGGUUACCCAUUGUCGUUGACGAAAAGAGGAAGAGAAGCAACGAGUACAAUGAAAAGAAUUAAGCUAAUUUUUACUUAAAUUCUUAAGAAUUGCUGUCAAAUGCAAACAGAGUAUGAGAAUCAGGUCUUUAUUGAUUAUGAUGACUUGAAUGAAAAUGAAAUACAGAGCUUUGCUAGUUUACAUACAGAGACAAAAAAUAAUGACAGCUAGCCUAAGGGGUAUUACACGGAAGUAAUCAAAAUUGAUCCGUGAAUAUAGCAAUUGUGAACCAAUCACAUUAAGCUUCUAGAAGAUGCAACUAUUCAAUGCACAUGCGCUGCUAUUCUUCAACAUAACAGUUUUGCCAGCUCAACAAAUCCAACUCACAGAAUCAAGGUCAACCGUUGACUCUUCACAGCUGCUGCUUUCAACAAUUUUUAGAGAACCACAACACCAAAAUAAAAAUAUGAUACAUUUGUUGCUUUAUUCAUUAUGUCAAAUAUCAAGAAUAUAAUGAUACGUUUGCACGUCAUAUAAAAUUUGUAUUUCAACCAAGUAAUCACAUAGUUAAUAUUAAAUCUUAUCAUUUGUUAUCUAAGUGAUAAAUUUAUAUUGACAAUAUAUUAUUUAGAAUAAAAAUUUUCUACCUUAGGUUUGGAUGAAGAUCCAAAAUAUUAAGUCAAUGAUAGAUAGAUAAAAAAUAAAAUAAAAUAAAUUUUAACAUUAAUUUUUUAUUUAAUAAAAAGUAAAUUCAAUACAGAAUUCUAAUCCCUUAAUCUCUCUCCAUCCACGGCAAAAGAAAGCAGCAACUCAACUCUCUUUAAAGGCUAUGGAGGUUCUCUUGCGACCUCUCUUCAGCAUACCCUCCAGAACAUUAACCCCACCACCGCCAUCACCACCCUGUUAAACACGUUUUCAAAACGUGUAUAAUGUGGCCAUCUAAUUUAUUUUUAAUUAUUAGUUUUCUAAUUUAAAUUGAUAUUUAUCUUUAUUUAGUUUACUUUUAAAACGUUGGGUUUGGUUUAAAAUUUGAAUAAAGAUAAAACAUCUCUUCCUAAUAUCUCUCAUACACGUUACGGGUGGUUUACUAAAAUCAAGGGGAUAACGGCUCAUAACUUCCUCUUUUAUUUAAACUUGUCAUCUUGAUGGGAGAUGUUUUACGGUCACGUUUUUUCAAGAAAAAUAUUGAGGGUCCCUGGUCUAACAACAGAGCCUGUGUAUACCAUCUACUCUCAGGAAUUAAGUGUUGGAUAGACUAGAAAAUUCUGAGUACAAAGCAUGGCUUGUUUUCGUUGGUUUUGUUUGCAUUCCAGUAGAAAGGUUGUGUACAAUUGAAUUUGAUAACUAUGGCAGGAGGUAAGUUUUCUAACUUGUGCAUGAUGAAUAUAGUCUUUUACACCCCACCAAUCAUCUCACUCUCAAAACUCUCCAUUUUUGCCUCCAUUAAUUCCCACUCUCUCCAAAACCCUGAUUUCUUCCUCUUCUCGUUUCCUCUCGCCCGCCCCUGGUACGCCAAUUUCCAUUCUCUCGCUCUUUUUUUUGGCAAUUUUGGCUUGAGUUUUUUGGGUUUUUGGUAAUUUAUCUUUAAUUUUUGUGGGUAUCCUUCGUUUUUUUAGUUAUCAUACAUGAGUUGAGUAGUCGUAGACGAUUUUUUAUUGUUUUAAACUGAACGGAUUCUUUGUAUUUCGAAAAUGAAAUUCAUUGUUUGUGAAGUAACUUUUAAAGCUGUUGAGUUGAGUUUGAAAACUUAAUGUGCUUAAAUUUAUCUAUGUGGAUUUGAAUCAGUUAGACAAGCAGCACAGGAGAGCCAAUCGAGCGCGGAGGUGAAUGCCGAUAGAAGAGAAUGGUUUAUGCAAGGUACAUUAAUAGUAAUUUGAUCUGAUGCCAAUUUUAUUUCUAUAUUAAUUUAUUAGAUUAUGUAAUGUUAUAAAUUCUUUGUUCAAAAUGUAGAGCUUGGAAAUUUAGUCGGUACAUUAUGGUAAUGAAUGUAGCUUGUGUAUCUGUUCAAAUUUAUGUCUAGCUUUGCUGUUUUGGUAAUGGUUUGUUUAGUAUAAAUUUUGUGUUGGUUAUGAUGUUGUUUAGUGGUUUGGAUCACUCGUGCUCUUUUGGCCCCCACUAAAAUUAAUUUUUCAUCAAAGGAUAUGAAUAGUUGUUCGAUGGAAACUUAAUGGAAGAUGUGGGAGCAUCUUUAUGAGUUAAGAUUCCCUGUAGCGAGUAUAUCCUUUGGUGCAUGAGAGUUUAAGUGAUUAUCGUCAUUGUUGAGUUAAACAAUGGGAUUAAUUUUCAUGUUCAUGUAAGGUGAUCAUCGCUAAAGUUAGAGCCAUUAGGUGAUAAAUUGAUACUUCAUUGUGUUGUUAUGUUUGUUAUACUGGAUAAAAAUCCCAGUGAUAGAAUUCAUGUUAGGCGGUUUUGGGUCCUAUUCAAUCCCAAAAGAUGAAUAAGGGGUGAGGCUUUCCCUCACAAUUGUAAAAUCACCACCAUCCUAGUUCACAACCGAUAUAAGACAACCCAACAAUCUCUCCCGCACAUAUUGGGCCUUGGUUCAAAAGCAUGGACACUCGUUUUCACUAGUAGGCUGUUGGACUGAGAUGUUGGUGAAUCUUUUAGUUGAUUUUUUUUUUUUUAUAAAAAGGAAAAGAUUAUGAAGAGAUAAAUACAAUAAAGAAAAAAAGAGAUCAAUAUUGCAAUAAAACAUUUAUGUAGUGAUAUUUUAUAUAAGAAUAAUUUCAUAUAGCUAUAAAAGUAAUGGUCCUAAUUUAUAUUAGGCCAAUUAUAAAUAAGAAUAAAUUUCAUGCUGUAAUAAUUUAUAAUUUUGCUAAAUCUCACCUUAAGGAGCUCACCUCCACGUAGUGUAAAUAUAUAUAUAGAAAAAAAAAAUAUGUUAUAUUACAUUAAGUGAACUUGGGGGUUGUUUGGUACCCCUCUUUACCUGGGAUUGCAUUGUGUUAGCAAUGCAACCCCAUGUUUGGGGUACCAAAUGGCUAUAUUAGCUAAACUCGACAUAUAGUCGGGUUUAGCUAAUGCGUCCAGUUACCGCAUUAGCUUUAGCUUCCUCUUUUUUUUUUUUUUUAUACUUUGUAAUAAUGAUAAAUGAAUAUAAUUUUUAAUUUAAUAUUAUAUAAUAUUAUUUUUACUUUAUAAUUUUAAUAUAAAUUAAUAAAUUUAUUGUUUAAUAAUAUUAUAUUAUAUUUUAAUUUUUAUCAUAGUAAAUGUACAACUAAAAAAUGUAUUAUUUAAUUAUAUUACAUUAAUUAAUAUGUAAAAUUAUAUUAAUUAAUAUAUAUAAUUGAUUAAUUUUUAAUAAGUUAAUAUAACUAAUAAUAAAUACUUAAAUAAUAUAAUAUAAUAUAAUAUUAUUUAAUUUAUUAAAAUAAUUAAACUAGUUAUUUUUAAAUAAUUUAAUAUAACUAAUAAUAAAUAUUUAAAUAUGAAUAAAUUUGAAUAAUAUUAAUUAAAAAUUAAUAAAAUAUAUAAUUAUUAGAUUGUUUAGCACAAUUCAUUUUUUAGCACAAUUCAUUAGUAUUUUCUAAAUAUAUAAUUUAAAUUAGUCACAAAAAAUUAAUACAAUAUAGUGCAAUAUCAAAUAUAAUAUAAUUAAAAAUUAAAUAUAAUACAGUAUAGUACCAAACAUUAUACAACAUUAUUAUAAUACAUUACUAAUACAACACAACAUAAUGCAAUACACCUGCAUUAAAAUAAUGCAAUACAAUAUAAUAUAAUACAGCGUGCCAAACGCACUCUUGUAUCCAUAUAGUACAAAAACAACAUAAGAGAAAAAUGUUAAAGAGAACACAAAAGUUCAGAGACUUUUAAGAUAAUGUUUUAUAUUUGUAACAAGCAUGUGCUAACUUUUUUGAAACCAUGUAUAUUUAUUUUUUCCCUAAGUUACAUGCAUGUAACUUAGCAUUAGCCUCAUUUUAUUAUUAUCUAUACAUUGGAUUUGACAUGUUUCAUUAAUAAUUUAUUACUACAUCUCUAUUAAAAUAAUUGAGGUCCUGCACUUUCAUUGGAAGAUAGGAGAAAAAAAUAAUUGAUAAGAGAAGAAAACAAUUUAAAAUAAAAUUUUAAAAUAUUUAUCAUUACUUAAAAAAAUUAAUUUUCUUUUCCUAAAGUUAUUCCACAGACGGUAGUACAAAAUUAUGUGAUCACGCACGCACACAGUGAUAGGGUAAUUAUUGAAACAAAAAUGAAAUUUGUCUGUUUUCCAUUUGAAAUCUAUUACUAAUAUAAAGGAAAAGAAAAAUCUUUAAUUACUUUUUUUUUUUUUCAUGUAGGGCAAGGCAAACAUCACUAUCUUGUUAAAUUAAUAUUUAAAAUUAUCCCACCAAAUGUAAUUAUAACAAAUUAAAUAAAUAUUUACUAUGAGUUCAGCAUCUGGGUUCCCACUCCAUAAAUAUGCCAGCAUUUUAAAACAAACAAGACUUAGAGUGUGUUUGGGAUUGAGGUGCUGUAGCUUUUAAGCUACAGCUGCUGUGAAAAAAAAACUGUAAUUAUGAAACAAAAUUUAAUAAUAUAUAGUAAAUAUAAAUUUUAAAUAAUAAUUUUGAUAAAAAUAUUAAAGAUAUAAUAAAUUUUAUAUUAUACAAGUGAAAAAUCAUAUUAACAUAGCUUAAAAGCUACAGCAGCUAGUGUUUACCAAACACUACAGCUGCCCAACCUCAAUCCCAAACGCACUCUUAAGCGACAAAUACAAUUUUGUCAAUGAGUAUAAAGGUCGCAUUAUAAGCCAAAGGAGAGCAGUUAAGGGAAGAUAAAAUAUUAUUGUAUUGAACUGGUUAUUUCUCUCUAGGGGUGGCAAAAAAGUCUGGGCUGGUCUAGGCCCGCGGGCCUAAAGCCCGGCCCGUAAGGGUGGGCCCAGAUAUUGGCCUAAAAAUUACAAAGCCCACAUAUGUGGGAUCUGGACAAGGGCUUAGCAAAAAAGCCCGGACUUGGCCCAGGCUUUUUAAAUUUAUGAAUAAAAAAUAAAUUUAAUUUAAAUAAAAAAAGAAAAAACUCAAAAUAUUAAAUUAGUUUAAUUUUUUAUAUUAGUAUUUGUUAUUUUAUUAGGUUGUAUUAUUAAUAUUUUAUGUAUUGGACUAUUAUUCUAUUUUAUAUAUUAGAUGAUUAUCUUUAAUUUAAAUUUUUUCUUAAUUUAAAAAAUAUUUUAUAAUUAAUUUAAAAAGCCCAAGCCCGGCCCAGGCCCGGCCCGAGUUCGGUCCGUCCAAAUUUAAACGGGUUUUUGAAGGGCCUGGACUUCGUUUGAAUGAUGUGGGCUUGGGCCUGGGCUUUGAAAAGCCCGGCCCAAACCCGCAAAUUGCCAUCCCUAUUUCUCUCUCUUCUAUUAUUAAUUUGUUGUUAAUUAUAACCUUUGCGGGAUUUAAAAAAAAGAAAAAGGCCCUUGCGUUUUCAUCAACAUUACACUGCCAAAUGUGAAAUGGAUUGAGAACCACAUGUCCUUAUUAUGCUGCCACUCCACAAAUGUUUAUUUUCCCCUCAUUCUCCUUAGAAGCCAGAGGCAGAGUCAGUCCUGCACCCCUUUACGUAUGCCUUCUCCAUAAAUUAACAUAAACGAUUAGUAUUAGAGCUGGCAAAAUGGGUCAUCGGGUCGUGUUUGUAUUGUGUCAGCUUCGUGUCGUGUCAAAUUUAGGUCGACCCAUACUCGACCCAUUUAAUAAUCGUGUCAAAAUAUUGAGACACAAACCCGACACGGAAAAAUAAUCAGGUUAUCCAAUAACCCGCUAUCUAUAUAUUAAACAAAAGUUACAUCAAAUAUUUACACAUUUUCAUACAUACGUAUGCGCAUACAUACAUACAUAAUUUAUUGAUAUUAUAAAAUAUACAUAUCUACUAAAAUAUUAGACACACUAUUGAGGUUUUAAUUAUAUAUGUGUAAAUAAUAUUAUAUAUCAAUAUUAUAAAAUAUAUAUGUCUACGAAUAUUUUAUACAUUUAUACUAGCUCUAAAUGUAUUUAAAAAUUCAUAAAUAAAAUAUUAUGUCUAUAUUCAUCCUUUUAAAGAAUUAAAAAAAAUCAUCUCUAAUAUUUGAGUUUUGGUGACAAGAAUUUACAAAUUAUUUUAAAAUAGAAAAUAUAAUCGGGUCAUUGAUCGGGUAAAUGGGUCAAGAAUUUUAACUCUAACCCGACACGAAAAAAAAUCGUGUUGACCCGGACCCGACCCAUUUAAUAAUCGUGUUAAAUUCAACGACUCAUACCCAUUUAUUAGUGUUGUGUUCGUAUUGGGUAAUCGGGCCGUGUCAAAUUUUGCCAUAUCUAAUUAGUAUAAGAUGAUUUAACCACACAAUAUGUCAAAUUUACAUUUUGCAAUCAUUGAUACUUGGUGCUACAGUCAAAUUUAUAUUUAUUCAAGGUAGCGGGUUCAAUAAUUAAAUUCACAUAAAAAGAAAGAUGCAUUCACCCUUAAUGGCCCAGGAGCCAACCAAAUUCCGCGUCCGCGAAGUGAGGCACUUUUCUUAAAGUUAUUUCACAGACGGAAGAACAAAAUUCUGUGAUCACGCACAAAGUGAUAGGGCAAUUAUUGAAACAUAAAUAAUGUCUAUUUCCCAUCCGAAAUCUGUUCUAAUAUAAAGGACAAGAAAAAGUUUUAAUUAUUAUUAUUAUUAUUUUUCACGUAGGGCAAGGCAAACAUCACUAUCUUGUUAAAUUAACAUUUAACAUUGUCCCACCAAAUAUAAUUAUAACCAAUUAAAUAAAUAUUUACUAUGAGUUCAGCAUCUGAGUUCCCACUCCAUAAAUAUGCCAGUAUUUUAAAACAAACAAGACUUAAGCGACAAAUACAAUUUUGUCACCGAGUGUAAAGGUCGCAUUUUAAGCCAAAGGAGAGCAGUUAAAAGGAAGAUAAAAUAUUACCGUAUUUCUCUCUCUUCUAUUAUUAGUUUGUUGUUAAUUAUAACCCUUUUCGGGAUUAAAAAAAGAAAAGAAAAAGGCCUUUGCGUUUUCUAUUAGCAUGUGUACAUGUUUAUUUUCUGUGUUAGUAGUGCAGAGUAUAUACUGAACACACUGGACAAAAAGGGUAAUUUGUAAUCAAUUUAGUUUUAUAAACAUUAAUCUCGGAAGUAGUUACUGAACUUCAUGUGGAAAAAAAAAUAAAAAAAGAUAGUCGCUGAGCAAUAAAUCUACAAGUCAUCAAAAUCGAGCAAUUCUAUGGCAAGAAUUCUUUCCAGUGGGAGGAUUCUAAAACCAAGAAUCCACUGCUGAAAUUUUAUUCACUGAAAAUAGGGAACGAUUGACACACCAGACAACAAGAACAAGAUGCAAUUAAAUCUAAUGAAAAUUAAAAAAAGAAAAAAGAAAUACAUAUUCAAACAUAUUAAUGAAAAUCAUCCCCAAGUACGACACCGGAAGAGAAAGCAUUUUGGGUGGCUUGAUCCUCCCAUUGUAGCUCUUCCCACCAUUCUUUCUCUCCCUCGAUGACAACUCGACGUUCCUUCACGCUGCUGGAAUUGACUGGGAGCUUCUUCAGCUGUGGGCAUCCACGUACUUGAAUUUUCUUCAGCUUUGGAAGGGGCAGGGGAUUCGGGUAAACGCUCUUUAAAUUUCUUCCCCACUUUAUGGUUAGAGAUUCGAGUUGUGCAAAAAAGUUAUGCUCUGACCCGAUUAUCUCCGAAAUAUCUCUCAAUUUAUCAACACUAAUUAUUUCUUCCAUUUCUGUACAAAAGACUAUACGCAGCUGCUUGAGAAUUUGAACAAAAACUAGCCACGUUAAGUCUUUCAUUUUUUUGCAACUGCUUAUGACAACUCUGUCGAGACUGCGGAAACCACUUUGAAAAAGCUUCUUCACCUCUUCUGUGCUGUCAAUCUUCAUCUCUUCCAAGUUAAUGUCUUCAAGAUCUAACUCCUGAAGAUUCUCCAUGUAUGCGAGAUGUAAGAGAUUGAACGGUGCACUUUUACAAUGGUAAACCAAUACAAAUUGAGUGAUGCUCACCAGCUUUGGAUAUUUCAAAAACUUUUGGACAGCAAGUGAACUUCCGAAGGACCAGCUUAAAACAUUUAAAUGCUUCAAACCCAGCAAUUCCUUCAUCAAAGGUUCAGCACCAUCACAUAGAACGUUACCUUCUUUCCCUUUUAUUACCGAAAGCGACCGCACCCACGCAACCUGAGUACCUCCAACUUUGAAAAGCCAGAUAUCAAUUCAUGUGGAAUUAUAGACAAAUGAAAUGCAUAGUCCAAGUUCAAAUAUCUCAGCUUCUCCAAUGCCUUCAGCUCUUGCGGCAACCCAGUUAUGUCAGUCGAUGAAAGAUCAAGAUGAUGUAAUGAAACCAAACUUGAAAUCCCUGAAGGUAGUUUACUUAGGGAAAGAUUUAUUCGUAGACUUAAUACUCUAAGAGAAGACAUCGAUUGAAAGAAGCCAUCAGUAAUCUCCUCAAUCCAAUUUCCAUCCAGAAGUAAAGUGACGAGACGUGGACACGUGGGAAUUUCCGAUAGGCUUUGAAUUCUAGUUUUCAUCAGAGAUAUCCGUUUGGCACCUUCCCAUUCUUCAACCUUUGGUGCUUCGGUCAGUUUAACUCCAGCGUGAACCAGAAAGUUCUGCUCCUCCUUGUCUACCGUGCACGCUAUCCAUAAUGACAUCUCACGAAUCAUAUCGUGCAUCUUUACAUGAUCAUCGCCUUCUUCCUCCAAUAAGCAUGCUUGAAGAAGGUCAUCAAUAAAAUCGCAUCCAUCAUCAAAAUCACACACAAAUCCUUCACUAAUCCAGUAAUCAAUCAAUUCCCUUCUAGGAAUUUCGUAGUCUUCAGGGUACAAACAACAAUACAGGAGACAGGAACGAAGUUCGUCCGUAGACAAACUAUCAUAGCUGAACUUUAAACGCGAAAACACCUCUUCUUUCAUACCUGAGCAUUUAGAAGCUGAUGUUCUCAUUUUGUGAAUUGCACGUUUCCAAUCUCCAACUUUCCUUUGGCUUUUCAUCGCUCGACCCACUGUUUUAAGCGCUAGCGGCAACCCACCACACUCUCUUGCCAAGGUUUCGGCUAGCUCUGGAAUACUGGUAUGACUGUCAAGAGUGGAUCUUUCGACCAUCUCCUGAAAUAAUUCCCAGGCUUUAUCAUGCGCCAAACUAUACACUUCCACCUUUUCAGCGUCCAUUUGAUCGCAAACACCAGCUGAACGAGUUGUCAAGACUACUUUGGACCCAUCAUUUAGUUUUUGAAGAGGGACACCCAAUUGUGUUAAAUCAAUGCGUUCCCAUAUAUCAUCCAAUAACAACACAAACUUCUUUCCGCUUAAAAUUCUAGCGAUGUCCGCAGCCUUGUCUCGAGGACUUUUUUUCUCCCACCUUUGGUCUUCUGAAAAGCCAAUCCUUUUUCCAAUGUCAUCUUGAAGUGUUGACGCAACCGCCCAGAUAACAACAUCAAAAUUAUGCUGUUGAUGGCAGAAGUUGUUGUUGACUUGUUUUAAAAGGGUAGUUUUGCCGGCUCCCCCUAUACCAUACAAGCCGAUAAUUCCCCUGUUCUUUUCCUGAUCAGUGAUACAUCUCCAAACUUGAUCAAGUAAUAGUUCUUGACCAACAACUGUGUGAUCAAGAGGUAAUUCAAUUGCUGCACCAUCUGGCGCCUUCUCAACAACGACUUCAAUUUUUUCUCCGUCUUUCUUUAAAUUGAUCACUCGAUCCGUCAACUCGACCACCUGAGUCCCGUAAUUGUAGCUUGAAACGAAGUUUUUGGAACAGAGGCCUCCAAGGCACAAUCUAUCCAUUUCUUGAGCUCUAACUCGUUCCAGCUCGGUAAAUUCAGUUUCCAGAUUUUGCACAUCUUCAAGCCACCCUGCGACCUGGUUCGUUCGUCUGGUUCGAGGUCGUUGUUCUUCGACCUCAACCUUGGUCUUCAGAUCGUCCCUUGCUCGAGUCAAUUUGUGCAAUUCAGUCUCCAAGACCCGAAGAUUUUUUUCGAGACCCCAUACAUAUUUUGCUUGUUCACCAACGCAGUUUGAAGUUCGAUCAAAUAAGUCUGCUGGUAAGAAGGUUGAGAUUAAGUUACCCAUUGUCGUUGACGAAAAGAGGAAGAGAAGCAAUGAGUACAAUGAAAAGAAUUAUGCUGCUUUGGAGAGGGUUAUAUUUGGAGAAGCACAAUACCGAAAUAAAAAUAUGAUACAUUUGUUGCUUUAUAAUUCAUAUGUCAAAUAUCGCGAACAUAAUGAUACGUUUACACGUCAUAUAAAAUUUGUAAUUCAUUUCAGUAAUGACAGAAUUAAUAUUAAAUCUUAUCAUUUAUUAUUUAAGUGAUAAAUUUAUAUUGAGAAUAUUUAUUUAGAAUAAAAAUUUUGUGCCUUUACUUUGGAUGAAGAUUCAAAAUAUUAAGUCAAUGAUAGCUAGAUAAAAAAAUAAAAUAAAAUAAAAUAAAUUUUAACAUAAAUUUUUUAUUUAAUAAAAAAUAAAUUCAAUAUAAAAUUCUAAUCCCUUAGAUUUACAAGUGCAAUCAUUGAUGAUGUAAAGAAUUAUUAUUUUUUUGGUUAAAAUACUAAGAUAUGGACAGUCAAUCAUUAGCCAUAUGGAUUCAAUUUCUUGAUCGACCAAAAACCUUGUUUCGACUGAAAUCUAUACGUGCAAGUGAACAUAAAUGAACAAGCUUUCAUCUGGAUUUACAGAGUGUGAAGUAAAUGGUGCGCGGUUGGAGGGGGGGGGAGCUUAAAUGGCAUGUUUUAUUCAAACGAUGCUGCAACUGCAGUUCUUAGUAGUUGGAUUCAGAAAACUAAGCUUCGAUAUCAUGACAUAACAAAAGAUGCAAUAAAAAUUGCACGGACAUAAUAGUUGUCAUGCUUCCAUAACAACGUUACCAAGUCGGUAAAAGCUAGGAAUAACAAAACACAUAAAAGUAGUUUCAUAUUAGAGAAUAUCUGAAUUUCCUGGUUGGUGGAGUUUCUUUGAUGAUCUUGUUCGAAAGCUAAUACCAUUCAACUCUAAAAUGUACCUCAAAGUAUCAAUCAUCUCAAUUAACUAGCCACAAAGUUUCCUUAGCUUGCCACAGUUCAGUUGUAGCAAACUACCAAAGCCCAUUUGACAAGCAGCCACUCUUUGUUCAUCUGUCAGCUGUGAAAGUGCCACCGCUAAUCUAUCUGGAGUCCAUCUGGUUAAGAACUUUGCCUUUGCGACUGCUGACUUCACUAUUCGUUCGCAUUGACUUUGUAUUGACAUUUUUUACCCGGCGGUAAAUUCUUAAACAUGGAUUCAAUUUCCGUCCAGUACACAAUCAUGGCAAAUAAACUAACUACGCCUUCACUACUUGAAAAUACAAAUUUAUUUUAUUUGUAACGCAAGUCAUUCCAUCGCUUGCCUUAACCUCACGCACGGCUUCACCGCUGCAAUAUCAUCAUAUGACUGCGAAAUUAUAUAUCUCUAUAAUUUUGUGAUGCAUAUGCAUUUUGCUUUUCAUGCCCUUGCAUUACUGAGCUGAUUUAUAUUCUCUGCUUGCAGUUUCAUUCACUAAUAUCCUUUAAUUGUUGUCAACGUCUUCUGGUCUAUAUUUGAUGAGCAUAGUAAAUACCUACUUUUGAUGCUCCAUAUACAAGUAUUAUCAGUCUGUUGCAAAUAGAUGUUUAUCACUAAUGUUGAAAUCGUAAAAUUUUAGACAUACUAGAACCUAAAAUCAAUGAUCCAAAGAGCCAUCGCCGUUUUUUGGAGCAGUUCUUGCAAUAGAUUCCCACUGUGGUUUUGAUUAAUUUGGUCAUGAUGCUUGUGUGCAGUGAUACUGGUAGGAAAGUUGAUGAUCCUGAGGUGCUUGAGGCAAUUCGUUUGACAGUUAUAAACAAUCUACUUCAGUAUCACCCAGUAAUCAUUUUUUUGUCUCUCUUGAGAUAUAACUUGGUGGAGCACCUGUAGGAAUUGUCUUAUUGAAAAGCUUAUUCCAUUUGUGUUGGUGUUGGAAUCAGGAAUCAAGUUCCCAGUUUGCAAUGGGUGUUGCCUUUGGCGUUGAUCCUCCAAAACAACAGGUUUUUGCUUUCUGGUCUUAUUUUGAUUUUUCAGAUUAUUGAUAUUUUUGGCUCUUCUCAGUAGUGGAUCAUUUGAAUAGGAAACUAAGUUGUUUUUAGAGUUCUCUUAGGCCAAAUAUUACUUCACUUUUAUCCUCAUUUUAUUUAAAGACAUUAUAUUCAAUUUGCCUGCCAUUGAAAUUAAUAUCAUGUUGUCAUGAAUGUUAAAAACUAUGCAUAUGAGUUAUUAUGGGAAGGAUAAUGUCCCACUUCAAUCUUGUCUCAAAUCUUGUUGUGCUGGAAUUUGUCAGGUUGAUGUGGACAUAGCAACCCACAUAAGCAUCUAUGAUGAUGGCCCCAACCGAAGGUAAUGCAUAAUUCAUUCUCUUAUCUAGAUGAUGGGGCUUUUGCUAUCCACCAAACUUUGGUCCCACACUAUUACUACUCAUACUCCAGCCCAAGUGGCAAUUUCCUGCCCAUAACUGAAGUAGUCAGAUAAUUUGGCCCUUACUAUUUUUGUUUAUUUUACCUUUUGUUUUAUUGAAGUUUGCUUUUGGUGGAGACGGCUGAUCGACCUGGAUUAUUGGUGGAUCUUGUAAAGAUUUUUACUGUCAUCAAUGUCAAUGUUGAAUCGGGAGAGUUUGAUACUGAGGUAGUGAGGUAAUCUUUUAUAACAAACUCUAUAUAUAUAUAUAUUGACAAAAGAGUGGCCUUCCCUUAUAAAUAUAUUUUGUUCUAAUUUUUGUUUUCGCACCCAGGAGUUGUUGGCUAAGGCAAAGUUUCAUGUCAGCUACAAGGGUGAAGCCAUUAUCAAGCCUCUCCAACAGGUAAAAACAACAGGCCUACAUAUAGGACAUCGGAAAUUGCUUUAUAGAUUGUUUGCUCUGAAGAAUAAAGAGACUUACCAUUUCUACUCAAAAUCGGUAUUCUAGUUGCAAAACUGUUCUUAUAUAAAAGAUUUGAAUUUAAACUUUGAAGUGGGCGGUAAGAACAUUAACGUGCUAAUGAUCACACGGUGCACCUGAAGGCUUGGACGAUCGUUGAUGUACUGAUUAGACUUUGCUUGAUCAAAUUUGCAGGUUCUUGCUAACAGUUUGCGAUAUUUCUUGAGGCGACCAACAACCGAGGAGGCAAGUUUUUGAGCUCUUGUUGAAGACUCCACCAACCAAAUUCAGGAUUACACACACUUGAUGAAUUUUUUUAUUUCUCUCCCCAGUAAACAUUCACAAGGGGAAUUACAAUAUGUUGUCUCCCUAAUCUCCUUACAUAAAAUAAAUAAAACAUGAGAUAUAUAUAAACGGACAACAUUUUAAUGAUAUAUCAUAUGGUAAACACUUAUAAAAUAGAAACCUUGCUAAUUUUAUCAUCCUCAUCAAUUCAUAGUCCUUUUUAAAUAAUUUUCAAGUUUAGGGAUAUGAUAUAGCUGUGUUGUAUUACUCAUAUUAAUCUUAAGCCUAAAGUUUGCAAUGGGUUGAUGAGCAUACAACCUUUUUCUAUUCAUGGAUUAAAAUAAUAAUAAUAUUAUUAUUAUUAGUUUUUUUUUUUUUUAUGUGAACCUUAGUUUACAUCCUAAAUUUUCCUAUAUCAACAUUUCAUUCCAGUACGCAAACAAGAUACAUCACUAUGGUUUCUUUAAUUUCAUUCUGUUUUCAUGCUUUGAAAAUUAGCGUCAUGACAUUGAUUCAGCAACUUUCACAAAACAGAAACAUAAAGGAGAUUUUUACCAUGUGGCUUUGGUGCAUUGGUCAUCAAAAUCUGCACAAUUAAUUAUAAAGAAUAUACGAUGUUUGCGCGUGCAAUUAUGAACGACUCAUCUUAUAUCAACUUAAGGGCAAAAUUAUUUUAAAAUCUCUUUGUAUAUAUGUUACAAUGUCAUUAAUUUUUUUUGUCAAUGGUCAUAGUUUAUUUAAUUGGCUACCAUUUUUAAGUUUCUUAUGACAGUUAACGGGUGAGGUAAAUCGAACACUUAAUUUUUUUAUAUUUAUAUCGUCAAUGGUGGAUUCAAGAAAAUAAUUUAUCGAUGACUAAAUUAUAUGACGACACGAUUCGAAAACUCAAAUUUUAUAGGUUUAAUAAAAACUAAAUUAAAUAAUAGUAAACCACCUAUAUGGGUUACCUCAUAACUUUUUAUAUUUUAAUUAAAGUGUGGUUUUUGUAAUUCUCAAAAUUAAAAUUUUAUAAAUUUUGAAUUUAUAAGACUAUUUUUAUAAAUUUAACUUGCCUAUUUUAAUAUAUUCAACAGAAUUAAUUAAUAACUCAAAUAUUUUUUUUAAUUAUUCUCUCUGUCCCACUAAUCAUGAGGUGAAUCCACCUCUAUAUCUCAUUUUAUAUUGUGUAAUCUCGUUAUGACUAAAAAGUACCUCCCUUAGAUUCAACUACUUAUCUAGGGAAAGUUUUUAAAAGCUGAGUCCACAAGCCAUGUCCCAUAACUUAGAUGACUGAAAAACAAAAACAAAACAAAAGGGAACAAAAGAAGGCCAUGCGGCCCAUGCUCUGCAAUGAGUGCUCCCUAAUGAUCAAGAAAGAGUAUUAUAAUUUAAUAUUUAUCCAAACAGAAAAUGACGUACACGGGAACAAUAAAUGAUCUCCCUAGAGAUGAGAGAAAUGGAUAACAAUAUUCUCUUAUUUAACUUCACUAUAUAAAGAGCUCUCUAUCAAAAUCAUAAUUCAAUUCAUUCCACCCACAUUGUUUGGAAAGAGAGAAAGUGAGAGAAAAAAGAAGGAAAAUAUGACAGGAUCAUUUGCUAGAGGAGCUCCCACCUUUAACUCCAUGUUUUUCAAGUAAUGUUUUCAUUAUCUAUCUACUUUGCUAUUUCAUCAUUUCAUUUUGACAAUCGCACUUCAUUAUUGCAUGGUAUGUUUGUAAAUAAAUGUUUUCACUUUAUCUAAAUUAAUUUUGUUAUGAAACAGUUCGUUCGAAAUAGGCCUAAUAGUUUCAAAUUAUUUAUUUACUAAUUAUGAGUGGUUGGUUAAGUACAUAGAAUUAAAUGUUUUAUUAACUGAACCAAUAUGUCUCCACAGGGGCCUCAGGUUAAAAAAAAUUAUCAAGAAAUAUGAAAGUCUUCAAUUAAAUUUGUCUCUGUGUCUGAUAAUUUUAUUUUGUAGCCCCCAUAUGUUUAUAUUCUUGUGGUAUAACCUACUUAAAAUUUGUUGUUUCUGUAUGAUUGAUGACAUCCAAAAUCCUGAUUUCGCCACUGUCCACGCAAUAAUAAAAAGAGAUUGCUUUCAUUCAUUUGAGUGUUUGAAUAUUUUACUCUUUGUUUUUGCAUUAUUAAUUUGUUGAGUCUUUUUGAAACAUAUAGGCCAAUGAUGAGGAAAUCCUUUCAAAAGAAAACAAGUUCUUAUGAUAUGAUGAGAGAAACAACAUUGAAAUCCAAUGCAGAAGAAGGAAAUGUGAUGAGGAGCCAACAGUUGAAUAAUAAUGUGGGAGAAAAUGAAGGGAAUUGUGGUUGGGUUCCUCAUGAAAGAACUGGGAUUUAUUACCCAAAAGGCCAUGAAAAAGUUAUUGACGAUGUUCCUCCUAGCGCUGGAAGAGAUUUUGAAGUUAAUUGGUUCUCAGAAACUCAUGGAUAAUUUAUGGAUAUGUUUUUUUUUUUUCAAAUUACUACACAUGCUUAAAGCGAAAAGGCUUUCUAUUGUCUCAAAGCAAAAUCCGAUUGUGAAAAAAAAAAUUAAAAUAAAAUAACAAUAAUGGAAAAUGAAAUCAUUUAGAUUCAGCUCAAUGCUAAGCAUUCCAAAAUUUAAGUUUCAAAAGAUAUGACAAUCAUUUAUUAGAUGGUGGUUAAAUAAUUUUACAAGUUAUGAAAUCUAUCGUCUAAUAAAUGAAUAACGUGUGACUUUUAAGACUUAAGAAGUUAAGACUAAAAAAUUAGGAUCUUAAUAUUAUUCUUACUUUUAUAUCAUCUUUUUAUUUAGGUCUAUUGUUUAUUGUCGUCUGAUUCUUCAAGCUAAAUGUACAAAACUACAAAUGGAUUAGGUGGGCCUCGCAUGGGCUUAAUUUUUUGUUAUGGCUCAUGAGUGGUCCUAUUGGUACCCCUAAAAAACCUUCUCAAACCCUUCUUUUAUAAUCAUGCAUUUGUCCCUAUUUAAAUUUACAAUGAUAAACAGAAGAAAUUAAAUUUUAUUCAAAUAACUAGUCUCCAUAAUUACAAUCAUGUGAAACCAAAACUCGACUUAACAAUUUAUUAUUUAUUUUGACGAUAUUUAGUUGACAUUCCUUGUUUAUCAAAGCACAAUGUAUUUUCUUAAAUUUUGAUAAAAUUUUAAUUAUUUUGUUAUUAUUAUUUAAGAUGAAACCUUAAAAUAUCAAUAACCAAUGUUGGAUGUUGUUAUAAGAAAUUCUAAUGAAAAUAUUAUGGAAAUAGCUUUUAAAAUUAUAAGUUCUAAUGGAGAUAAUGAUUAUUCGAAAGUUGAUGCCAUCAGAUUUGGGUUUCAAGCUCCCCAAGACGAAGAAAAUGUGAAAAUGGGGUUGGUGUGUAAACCAAGGGUGUUUUUGGAAUCAACUUAUGUGGGUUUAGAAAUCGAGUGAGGCUAUAUACACUCUAAAAAUUACACUAAACACCAUAAUUUUAUAAAAAAAUUUAUUUCAAUAAUAUUUAUGGUAUAAAUUAUUAUUAAGGACAUGACAAUUAUUAAUUUUUUUUGUAUGACUAUAAUUACUUCUUUUUCAGUUAUAUUAUGAUGAUAUUAAACAAGUUUACAUUGGUUGCUUGAUUUUUUCUUUUGGCCAAAAAAUACAUGUCAUUCCACAAUACCAGAGUAACAUGGACAAUUAUUCAGACUCUUACAAACUAGUCUGCAACUGAGGCAUUACAACCCAGCAAACAUUUUUGCGACAUAAAAAUGUUCAGACAAAUCCAGAUUAAAAAAAAAAGGGCUUAAUUUACCAUCCUCUUUUGACAAACUUUGAAUUUUCUGACAUUCAAUUGGAGGUGGAAGUGGCAUCAUAGUUGUACUGAAGAAGAUCGUCAUAAGGGUCCCAGGCACCUACUCUGAAUCAUUCUUUCUUGUCCCUCUCUUUCAAGUCCUCCAUCAACCUCAAAAUCAUAUUCUCAGCAAUUAAAAAUUUCAUCUUCACUUCUCUUCUUGAUUCUAAGCUCAGAACUAUGAAGCGCAAGCUGCGUCUUUUAUUUAGCUAAAUGAUAUAUUGGUUAAUUGAUUUAUUUGUUCGGAUUAUAAUGUUUAUUUCUCACGAUCUUUUCAUUGGUGAAAUUUUUUGAUGGAUUUUUUUAGUUGCUCCUUUAUCAUUCUUCAUUUAUUGGAGAAAUAUAUUAUACAACCAAAUAAUUAAAUUUUAAUGAUAAAAGAGUGUUUAGAGAAAUAUUUUGAAUAUGUAAGGCGUUUUCAUGAGUGUGUUAGAGUAAAUUAAUUUAAAAAGGAUUAAAUGAGUACAUUUUUGGUACUUUAAGGAAUGUACAAAAUAUAGUUCAUUUUUUUAAAUUAAUAAAUAAGUGUAUAUAGUAAUAAAACUUUGAGAAUAAUUUUUAGACUACAAAUAACUCUGCCCUUAGAAAUAAUAUUAUUUUUUGAAUGAUUUAGUGGGCAUAUUGAAUAAAGAUUUUUAUGAGGGCUUUCAAAGGUGCGAUAGUUCUACUCAUGACUCAUUUUUCUGCUAUUAGGAUUUACUCUUUGUUUCGUACUUUCAUUUGAGUGGAGCUCUCUCUGUCUCUCUCUCUCUCUCUUUGGAAAUGGAAAGCUUCAAUCAAUCACUUCAAGGAAAAAGACUUACAUGAGUUGAAAUUUCCUCCAGCCAAAUUACACGGCCCGAAUUGUUAACAUCAUAUUUAUCUAAUUUAUGAGCGGUCUCACUACUACUGCUCAGUAUAAGAUUGAUUUUGAAGUGGUCUUUCACAACCAUACAAUUUCGAAUCUCGAAAAUUAACCAUGAUAUUUCUUUCAUACUUCUUUCAAAACCUUUCGCCAAGUUUAAAAUAGUCUUCGAGUCUGAUUCAACAAUUAAUGGCAUUAAACCAAAGUCUAUUGCCAUUUUUAUUCUAAAAUUCAUAUCUUCAGCUUUAGCAUAUUCAACGUCCCCAUGAAAAUCUAUAUUCUGAAUUCCUACACUCCAAAAUCCUUAUAAAGCUUGUUUUAAUUUUUAUUUAUCAAAGUACCUUGGUUUAAUUUAUAAAAUACUAAUCCAUAAAUUAAAAUUAAUAAUCUUCUCAUUAAAUUUCACCUUAAAAAGAUUAUAAAUUAUUAAAAGUUUCUAAAAAUUAUAUAUAUAUAUAUAUAUAUAUAUAUGAAAUGAGGUGGGUGGAAAAAUGUUAAAAGAAUAAUUUUAUUUAAGUAUUAAUUAAAUUUUCAAUCAAAAUAAAAAUGGAAUUAAUUUAUCUUUAAUUAUUUAAAUAAUUUUAAUUAAAGAGUUAUAAGGAAUUUAAAGGAGGGUCUUAUAGGGGGUGUCAAAAGGCUGCGAUCUAAUGCUUCCGUUCAUCACAAUCUGCUACUGCGAUUGAUCGCGAUCUGCAGCCGUGGUCGCGCUCGUCCUGUCGCCGUUUGUCGUCGCGAUCUGUUACCUUCGGUGAAGAGGAGCACAAUGUUUGUUUUGGGAAUUAUAAUUUUAUAUUUUAAAUUAUUAAUUUCUUAUAUUGUUUGGCCACUGAUUGUACAUUAAAAUUAUAUAGAUUGGUGUUUGUAUUAUUUCAUUGUUUGCUUAUUUGUUAUUAAUGUUAUUAUUGUUUAUUAUUAUUAUUAUUAUUAUUAUUGUAGUAUUAGUAGUUGUUAUUUAAUUUCAUUAUUAUCAUUAAUUAUUACUAUUAUUUAUUUAUAAUGUUAUUAUUAAAUUUAUUAUUAUUAUCAUUAAUACCAAAGGACAACUAUUAUUAUUAUUAUUAUUAUUAUUAACAACUAAGGGCGUUUUAGUAACUUAAAACAACUUAACAUAUUCCGAUUCCGAUUCUUAGAUAAAGUAAACACAUCAAUGGGGUUUUAACUCAUUCCGAUUCCAAUUCCGAUUGCUACAGUUUAAGUAAACAACUUAUUUUGAUUCUCAUUCCUCAUUUUCAUUCCGAUUCUAACCCAUUCCGAUUACUGACAAGUAAACGCAUUAUAAAGGAAAGGAAAAAAAAUUAAUUAUUUUUUUUACCAAAUAUAAUUAUAACAAAUUAACUAAAUAUUUACUAAGAGUUCAGCAUCUGAGUUCCCAAUCCAUAAAUAUGCCAGCAUUUUAAAACAAACAAGACUUAAGCGACAAAUACAAUUUUGUCGACGAGUAUAAAGGUCGCAUUAUAAGCCAAAGGCGAGCAGUUAAGAGAAGAUAAAAUUUUACCGUAUUAAACUUGUAAUUGUGGAUGCCUGGCCUGGUGUUAAAAAGGAUUUAGAGCCACAAAAAGUUUUUGACCAAACCAAAAAGAAGUAGCAAAGCAAAAAAAGGAUAAUAGCAAAGCAAUAAAUCUACAAGUCAUCACAAUCAUGCAACUCUAUAGCAAGAAAAAAAGAAAAAGAAAAAGGAAAUACAUAUUCAAACAUAUUAAUAAUAAGGAUCCUCCCAAAGUACGGCACAGGAAAAGAAAGCAUUUUGGGUGGCUUGUUCCUCCCAUUGUAGCUCUUCCCACCAUUUUUUCGUUCCCUCGAUGACAACUCGACGUCCCUUCGCGCUGCUGGAAUUGAGUGGGAGCUUCUUCAGCUGUCGGCAAUGAAAUACUUGAAUUUUCUUCAGCUUUGGAAAGGGCAGGGGAUUCGGGUAAACGCUCUUUAAAUUUGUUCCCCGCCACAUGGUUAGAUAUUCGAGUCGUGCGAAAAAGUUAUGCUCUGACCUGAUUAUCUCUGAAAUAUCACUCAAUUUAUCAACACUGAUUAUUUCUUCCAUAGUAAAACCCUGCAUAUUUAGCUGCUCGAGGUUUUGAACAAAAACAAGCCACGUUAAGUCCUUCCCUCUGCAAGACCUUAGGACAACUGUGUUAAGACUGCGGAAACCAUUUCGAAAAAGUUUCUUUACCUCUUCUGUGCUGUCAAUCUUCAUCUCUUCCAACUUAGAGGAUUCAAGUUCUAACUCCUGAAGAUUCUCCAUGUAUGCCAGAUGUAAGACAUUGAACGGUGGCCUUGUAUACGUGCCACAUUCAACCCAUACAGAUUGAGUGAUGCUCACCAGCUUUGGAUAUUUCAAAAACUUUUGGACAGCAAGUGAACUUCGGAAGGACCAGCUUAAAACAUUUAAAUGCUUCAAACCCAGCAAUUCCUUCAUCAAAGGUUCAGCAUCAUCACAUAGAACGUUACCUUCUUCUUCUUCU
rnacentral:lncRNA from 1 species